CUUCCGGUUCCGGGCGCUACGGCGAGAGAAAAGGGACAAGCUUCCUGGAAACGCAAACGACGGCUCCGCCUCCUGGCAACGAAGCCCCGCCUUCGUCGACCGAACUUCCGACUCCCGGUGCCACCCUCCCCAGGGGUUAGGCCUCUGCUCCCGGCUGGCGUCGGAAGGUUCCGGCCCCCGCGUGCCCCUGUGGGAGCGGGCCGCCCAGUAGCUCGCGUCAGGCAGUGGAAACAAAUGCAGGAGCAGAACCAUGCAUUGCAGCAUGAAGCUGGGUGGCCCUUAAGGAAGAGGAUGGAGGGAGCUGUCCUGAGUCCCAGCCCCUCCCGGGGUUGCCCGGGGAACUUUCCCACGCGCUGAGGGAGCCGCUGAAGAGGCUGGAUUGGAGAAUGAGAACGAGGGACGUGGGCAGACAAAUGGCCAUGCAGCCUGGAGCUGAUGGUGCAAGUGGGUGCCUCCUGCCCCUGCGGGUCUCAGGCCCGGCCCUUCUCUGCGAGAGCUGGGGAGGGAGGCUCCCUCUGGCAGAGACUCCGGGGCAGAGGGGAAGCUCAGAUGCCAUUGGUUAACGACCCACAUGACCCUGGAAAUGCAAAUGUAUAAAAGGAAACCCACAGGGAGCCUAUGGUUUGGUGCUGCUAUUUUCUGGCUGGUUAGCCAGGAAGAAUUGCAUGAGCGUGGCUCAGUGGUUGAGCAUCAACCUAUGAACCGGGAGGUCACCAUUCGAUUCCCGGUCAGGGCACAUGCCCAGGUUGUGGGCUCCAUCCCCAGUGUGGGGCGUGCAGGAGGCAACCGA